GCAGCUCCCGGCCGAAAGCGUUUCCUCGAGCAGCGGCGCUCGGGGCUUGGCGCGACAUACACCAGCGGCCGGGCGCUCCGGACGGCCAGGGGCGCGGAGGCGGCUCCACCGGCGGCGGCGGCGCUUCGAAGGAGCAGGACGCGGUGGCCGCGGCGGCGCUUGUUGUUGUUGUUGUUUGCAGGCGCGCUCAACGUGGUGUCAUCCUAGCCAGGCGGCGUCCGCGGCUGCAGGACACUGCGGGAUCGCCCGCUUCUGGCGCGGCCCGCCUGCUCCAAAGACAAAUAAACGGGGCAGUGAGUGCUGCGGCGCAGUCCCGGGCGCAGGCGGGGCGCGGCGGGGCCUGGAGCGGCGCGCGCAGCGGACGGAGGCGCACAAAACUCAGCCCUCUCUCCCCGAGGAAUGGACCCUUUCCCGGG
rnacentral:lncRNA from 10 species